rnacentral:rRNA from 1 species
UGGGGAAUAUUGGACAAUGGGCGAAAGCCUAAUCCAACAAUACCACGUGUAUAAAAAAAACCUUAAAAUUAUAAAGCACUUUCAAUUAAAAGGAAAAACUCAUAACCAAUACCCAUAAGCUUGACAUUACCUUUAGAAGAAGCACCGGCUAACUCCAUACCAGCAGCCGCGAUAAUACAAAAAAUGCGAGCGUUAAUCGGAAUUACUGGGCGUAAAGCGUGCGUAGGCGGCUCGUUAAGUCAGAUGUGAAAGCCCUGGGCUCAACCUGGGAACGGCAUUUGAAACUGGCGAGCUAGAGUUUGGGAGAGGAGAGUGGAAUUUCAGGUGUAGCGGUGAAAUGCGUAGAGAUCUGAGGGAACACCAGUGGCGAAGGCGACUCUCUGGCCUAAAACUGACGCUGAGGUACGAAAGCGUGGGUAGCAAACAGG